rnacentral:rRNA from 1 species
GACGAGCGCUGGCGGCGUGCUUAACACAUGCAAGUCGAACGGAAAGGCCCUGCUUUUGUGGGGUGCUCGAGUGGCGAACGGGUGAGUAACACGUGAGUAACCUGCCCUUGACUUUGGGAUAACUUCAGGAAACUGGGGCUAAUACCGGAUAGGAGCUCCUGCUGCAUGGGGGGGGUUGGAAAGUUUCGGCGGUUGGGGAUGGACUCGCGGCUUAUCAGCUUGUUGGUGGGGUAGUGGCUUACCAAGGCUUUGACGGGUAGCCGGCCUGAGAGGGUGAACGGCCACAUUGGGACUGAGAGACGGCCCAGAAUCCUACGGGAGGCAGCAGUGGGGAACAUUGCACAAUGGGCGGAAGCCUGAUGCAGCAACGCCGCGUGCGGGAUGACGGCCUUCGGGUUGUAAACCGCUGUCGCCUGUGACGAAGCGUGAGUGACGGUAAUGGGUAAAGAAGCACCGGCUAACUACGUG